GAAGAGCUUCAGAACGUAGUUCAUGCCGUUGAUCAAAUGACAACCAAGACUCCUUCAGAAGUUUGAAACUUUCCACACUUAAUGAUGCCUUUGGUACCUAUUAUUUGAUUAGCAGCGGACAAAGGCUGUUUGUUAUAUCAAAAAAACACAAUAAUUGAUUAAAUUCGGAAUGCAUUUUUGGUUCUUUUCUCUUUUGUCUUUCUCGUAACUAACUACUUGAAAGGUUCUCUUGACUGGCAACACACAUGUUAUGCAUUGGAGAUGUUGUCGUUACACGUAUUUGAUGUUUUAAAUUCCUCUAAGAAGAUAAAAAAUAAAAUUAGCGUUUGUGUUGGUGGACUAGAUUCUCUUGAACGAAACCGUACCUUAUUGUCUUUGAUUUGUAUAUCUCAAUUUUUACAGUCGAUAAAUAUUAUCAACCAAACCAAAAAUAUAAUUGUAAAAAUGUAUCUAUGCAUGAAAAUUUGUUUAUGGAUUUUUAAUUAUAUAUUAAUUUUUUUUAUAAUUAUUUUCAAUUAUUUUUUGAUUAGUACUUUAAUUAGUUGUCUUGCAACCGCUAAAACAUGUUAUGCGAUUGCUGUUACGUGUGUUUGAUGUUUUAAAUCGCAUAAAAGUAAUAAUAAUAAUAAAAAUAGCGUUCAUUUUAUAUGUGGUGGUGGCGAUUCUCUUCAAAAACUCUUCUUAUUUUUAUUUAAAGUAUAUAUAAAAAAGUAUUAGGUAAUAAUUAUUUUGAUUAAACUAAAAUAUGUUUGGAGUUAUAUUACAAAUAUACUUUGAUUUGGUAAUUGUACAUCGAAUCUUAUUUUCCAUCUACUACUACUAGGUGAAGUGUUUUGCAAACAUAUUUGCUUAUAGCCAUUAUCACAUAAUAAUCGUUUUAAGUUGUAACCUUCGAUCAUUUCUCAAAUUCUGCGUGGACAAACAUUUUUUUUUUUUUUUUUGUGUGUGUCGUUUAUUAACAUCAUAAGACUAGCUAGCUGAGGAAAAUAUUGUUUAAUAAAACAGAAUUAUAUCUUUAGGGUAAUAUAGUUAAGUUGAUUUAACUCCAAUUAUUACAAGUAGAAAUUAUGUUUGGGAAACAUAGUGUAUAUAACACAACCCAUCACAUGUACAUGUUUUUUUUGUACAAAAAGAUUGGUAGCUUACAAGGUCUUGAAGUGAAAAGGGAAAUGAAAGAAUGAACAGUGUGUAAACACAACGUAAGUUCAUGCCUUCAUUUUACACCACGAACAUAGAUGUAUAGAUACAAAUAUUCGUGUAGAGGAAAACACUACAUGAAUAUUCUAAACCACACAGCAAUGUUUCACCUUAGUUUCUUCGGCAAGAUCGGUUAGAGCGUCCAAGUUCUGUCUUCUCGAUGGGCCUGAAGGUGGAACCAGAUACACUCUACGACUACGACACGGGAGGGGUUUAGGCCUGGUGGUACUGUUUUCCUUACUAUAAUAACAGCUCAAGAACCGGAGUGUUGCUCCGGCAGUGUUUGCCUGAAGAAGGAGAAAAAAAAGAAGUAACGUUAGUAAUACUUGUAAGAGAGACAUUGCUAGAAAGAGAGAG
rnacentral:lncRNA from 1 species